UACGUAGGUGGCAAGCGUUAUCCGGAAUUAUUGGGCGUAAAGAGCGCGCAGGUGGUUAAUUAAGUCUGAUGUGAAAGCCCACGGCUUAACCGUGGAGGGUCAUUGGAAACUGGUUGACUUGAGUGCAGAAGAGGGAAGUGGGAUUCCAUGUGUAGCGGUGAAAUGCGUAGAGAUAUGGAGGAACACCAGUGGCGAAGGCGGCUUCCUGGUCUGCAACUGACACUGAGGCGCGAAAGCGUGGGGAGCAAACAGG
rnacentral:rRNA from 1 species